CGCGUGCGCAGGGACUGGGUUGGGGGGCACAGGACGCGCUUAAGCGAGUUGCGACGCGGGAUGUGCAAUGAGUCUCUAAGUGCUGGUUACCCGAUUGCUGGGGCCCGGCAAGGCUGGUGACCCUCAGGCGCACAUCAGUUGAGCGCAGCGGGCUGGGCAGACGUUACUCAGGGUCCCAAUUGGCCACAGGGCUACCGCCUUUGUCCGUAAGUUGAGCCCGGCUAUACUUGUCUGGCUGACUGGAUGAGGGACACGGAGGUGGGUUGCAUGUAGGCGAGUCUUCCUCUGCGUGUUUGGGAAUUUCUAAAGACGCCUGGGUCCCUGGAGUUUUGGAUGAGCCUGGGGAGAAUGGAGUGUCACUUUUCCUGAGCUGUGGACGCCUCAACUUGGGUCUUGAUGUUGAGUUUCCUUAGGAAAGGCCAGAUUGUCUGGAGAGGCCAACCUGUAUCUAAAGCGAUUGUUCCUUAUGUUGCACCGCCUGAGUGUGGGGUUUCUGGUGGGGCCUAGGAAAAGGAGCCUGAAGCCCAGGGUCCUAUGCUGUCUGGGUGGUGAUGUUUGAGGAUUCACAAGCUGGAAAUCAGACCACAAGCUGGACCUAGCCACAAGGAAAGCCUUCUAGAUCUGUAGACUGCCCCAUCCCUAAAAACCUGUCUGUUGACAUGAAGCCCAUGAAGGAGCCCAGAUUGAACAUGGCCAAAGGUCCACGUGCUCACACAGCUCCACCUUUGUGCUGCCCCCAAAGCAGUCUUAAGGCACCAGAAAUGGCAGAACCUUCCAUAGGCUUGAGUCUUGAGGAGGAAAGGAUUGACCUCAACUCCCAAGUUUUGGGUAAUUUUUGGGUGGUAAAUAAAGAGACCACCAUUCCAACUGAAGUGUCUGGACAAGGCAAAUUUUACCCUUGACCAGGAGAGUGUGCUCAAGGAAGCACACCAAGCAGGAAGUGCGUUUGGUUCUUCCUCUAACUCAGGUGGUGGCUGUGUCUUUUCCGGGUUGGCUGGGGUCUGACCUCACAGUAUCAUCGAAUUGGCUGGUCUGAAAAGAACCGACAAAAAAUGGAGGAAAGUGAAAUGGUCCCUGACUGAAGGAGGGUCACUGUUCCAGGCCAUCAUAUUCCUAGAACUGCCAGGAGCCAGGGCUGUUACGUAGAAAAAAACCGAAAGAAAAAAGAAAACGAAAUUUGAAUUCCUUAUCCUAAACUCAAAUUUUAUAGUAUUUGAUAGAAAAGAAUAAUAUUUGAUAUUUCUUACACAGGUUACAGUCCUGUACCUGUACAGGGAAGUCAGGGCAGGAACUGAGGUAGAGACCGUGAAGGAACACUGCUUACUGGCUUUUUUAGCUACCUUUCUUAUACAACCCAGGCCCACCUCACACAUUGGACUAAGCUUCUCUCCCCCAUCAAUGAGCAAUGGAGAAAUGUCCACGGACAUGCCCAUAGGCCAAUCUGAUAGAAGCGAUUCCUCCGUCGAGGUUCCCUCUUUCCACGUAUGUCAGGUUGACAACUGAAGCUAACUAUGACACUUCACUGGGGGUAUCUACUCAUCCCCCAGCUUGCCUCCUUCAACACUGGACCUGAGUGAGAAAGCUGGAGGAGAAAGCUGGGGCUCCAUCUCUGACACCAGCAGCAAGGCUAUUGUGUGUUCAGUGUGUCCAAGGGUGGGUGGUGGUGUGUACCAUGCCUGACAGAUGAUUCAACAUGGCUAGGAGGAAGCAUACCUAAGUAAUUCUAUGACCUGUGUCCAGAGUGGCCUGUUUGUCUGGUUUCCAGAAGAGCCUAUGAGGAUUCUCAGGAUCCACGUGGAGUUCAGGCCCACAUAGGCAGCUGUAACAGACAAGCAGUGCUCAGCCAGGAGCCAUGCUCUGGAUCUACCUGAUGUUCCUAACCCAGUCUCCCUUUGUCUGCUGUGAUCAGUGGGGAGGAUUUGAGGUCCUAACACGUUACCUGGGAUCGGGCCCUAAUGUGGAGUUACCUGCCAGAGUGCCUGUUGCUGAGCAAUAUCCCGGAUCCUUUGCCCCUAGGGCCUUCCUGCUACAGUGACUAGGCCCUGCCCCUCCACCCGGUAGCAUCCUUCAGGGCUGACAUCUGGACCUGGAUACCUGGACAACAUCAGGGCUACUGUGGGGAGUAAUGGGCAGGUUUUGCCACUUGAGACAGAGCACUUAGAGGCUCAAGGAUGUCCUUGGGCAAGACCCAUGACCCCAUCAUGAGGGAUGCUCAGUGCCCCAUCCUGCCCUGUAGAGCUUUCUCUCAGUCUCCUUCAUGGUUAUGUCAGAGGUCCUGAUUAUGAGCUUACACACCUGAGCCCUGCACAUGAUACACUAGGACAUCAGAUCUAUCAGCAAGUACACGUAUGGUGAAGGUGGGGGAGGGUCAAGGACUACAUAUGUAGAGUCUGCUUGUGUGCAGAGAUCCUGAGCCGUAGGAACUCUUGAUAUCGACAAGUUGAACAUCAGGAAAAAGGAUCUCCUUUAACCAGCAUGCAGGAGGCAGAGGCAGGUGAAUCUCUGAGUUCCAGGACAUCCAGAGCUACAUAGUGGAGCCUAUCUCAAAGGAAAAGCCACAAAUUUCUUCAUAUUCAGCCCCUGCUAUUGUGGGUAGCUGUUCCAGCUUUGACCUUGAAGCAUUGCCCCUAGUGAGGCAGCAGGUAACUGCUACACCUGCCUAUGACCUGCCCCUGGGGCGUGGCCUCUUUGGACCCUUAAGACCUGAAAUGCGUAUGUGCUCGCACUCUCUUGUCUACCUCGUGAUCUUGGAUGCUGGAUUGUAGACCAAGUCAGAGUUCUCCAAAAAACCACAUUGGACUGUACCUCACCUCUCCUGGAUCCUGUAACCGAUCCUUUUGUUGGUUGUAAGUCGCCCCCAAAUAAACCUCUUUUGACUAUCAGAUACACUACGUGGAAUUGCCUGGUUAAUUGCCGCUUUACCCUGCUUCUGUUGGAUUGUAAGGGUAGGUGAGAAGUCCUAGGAGACUUCUGCCGUGGUGGGCUAAACUUGUGCCGCAAGGCCUCCUGCCUGCUGUCACCCUGCUGCCUCUGGGACUCCUGUUUCAGAGGAGACCUGGGCCUAUUCCUGGCCUCUGCGCACAUCUGGGAGGUCCUUUCUCUCGAACUGCCAGCCAUCUCAAAGCCUGGGGCACCAGAUGCAACAUCUGCUAAGUGCUGCCUUUGUGAGGACACAGGCAUUGCCCUGAGUGCCCUUCUGUUAGUUCAGGUGACCAUCAAGUGGACCUUGAUACGAGGACUAAGUGUCCGAGGCAUAAAGUUCUCUUGGGUUUGGGGGACAAUCCUUAUCAUGUAAACACUCCAGGGUGGAGGGCGGGGAGCUGCCUAGAGAUGAGAGGUGGCUCUCAAAUAGCCUUCAAGAGCCAGAUGAAGCUGGGCGGUGGUGCCGCACGUCUUUAAUCCCAGCACUUGGAAGGCAGAGGCAGGAGGAUCUCUGUGAGUUUGAGGCCAGCCUGGUCUACAGAGCGGGUUUCAGGAGAGCCAGAGCUGACACACAGAAACUGCUUGAAAAAAUAGAACAAAAAGAUCCAGAUGAAGCCCAUUCCCCAUUAGGGCUCAGGUGGGUCUCUCCAGGGCCAACUGGACUGGGUGAAGUCUGGAGCCUCCAAGUUAAGUCAUGCAAGGCUAUACAAAGCAAGCAGCAUGCAGCCAGUGACAGCCUUGCUGUCAGGUAUGGAGUUGUGAAAGUUCUUUCACCUAAGGUGGGUCCUCUGCAUCACUGGUGAGCAUCACCUAAGUUGGGUCCUCUGCAUCAUUGGUGAAAAUGCUAAAGCAGCUGGCUGGCCAGGUGUCUAACCUGUGGGCAGGUGAUGGCAUUGUGGCCCAAAGUAGGGUGAUGUGGCCCUGAAGCAGGCACAGAGGGUCCAUGUGAGUAACAAGGAAGCAGAGGUCAGGUCUAGGAGCCUUACUCAAGACACUCCUAGAUCCACAGGGCUGGAGGGGGCAGGGGAGGCAGAGGAUAGGUGUGUACUCCUCUCUUUCUGAGUAGCUUAUCUAUCCCGGAGACAAGAGCCACCUCAUCUGCCCUCUGAGGAUUUGACUGUACUGUGUCCUUUUUCCUUCUUGGAAUUGUAAGGCAAACAAAAUCAGUCACCGUGAAGCAGCAAAGAAGGUUCUGUUCUUGGCCAAAGAAUAAGAGAAGCCUGAGUGGAGCUCAAAUCCACUUCUCAACUGUGGCCGCUGGAGGUCAUAGAUAUGGCUCAGCAGAAGCCUGGCUCAUCUGCUUUUAUCUCCUGCUAUUCCUGAGGGCUGAAUGGGCAUCUGGCCAACUUCCUUAUGUCUAAGAUGCAGAAAGCACCAACAAGCAGGAACUCACUAUGUUAGACCAGGCUGGCCUUGAACUCACAGAGAUACACCUGCUUCUAAGUGCUGGGAUCAAAGGUGUGCACCACCACCACAUGCUCCGUUAACCUUGGACUCUUGAUCCUCCUGAUUGUCAGACCACCUUGCAGGGCAGGCUGGAGCCGAAGAUGGGUGAGGCCACAUCUUGCCCAGGACUGCUUAGUUACAUAUAUCUCUUAGGCUCUAAACCUAAACCUCUUGCUGGGACUCCAGAGAUAGACUUGGGGGCCACUGAACAUCAUUGUUUUCAUCCACAUUGAAUAAAUCUCUGAUUUUCACUGUU